GUGAAUAUAGUUCAAUUAGGUCGAAUAGAAUUUUACCAAAAUUAAGAUUGCGCGUUCAAAUCGCGUUAUUCACA
rnacentral:tRNA from 1 species